rnacentral:sRNA from 12 species
UGUUAGUGCUGUGAAUAAGGCAGUAAGCGUGGCUGGGCUUUGGUUCAUGUUGCGCCGAUGAGUCGUCAUUGACCUAGUGUGACUCUGCCGAUAUAGAUUAGGCGCACUAACC